rnacentral:ribozyme from 1 species
GAAAGGUCUAGAUCUUUCCAAUAGUCGCAUGGGGCAUUUGGCAUUUGGAACCUUGGCAAAAUUACUGUCGAAAAUGACUUGCCUAGAAGAGUUAAAUUUGUGUGCGUGUUUCAAUCUCCUUGAACAAGACGCAAGUGUGACUGCAGGCUUUCAAGAGUUUGUGCAACAAUUGAAGUCAAACAAGUCCUUGAAGGAACUGUGGU